rnacentral:misc_RNA from 1 species
AAAGUCGUAACAAGGUUUCCGUAGGUGAACCUGCGGAAGGAUCAUUACCAGUAGCGGUCCCCGGCCUCGGUCGGGGUGCCCCUCACCCUUUGCGUACCUUUUGAGCGUUGCUUUGGCGGGCUCGCGCCCGCCAGAGGCCUUUACAACCUAUAUUUUUGGACUGUCUGAGUGUCUAUGACAAUAAAAUAAAACUUUCAACAACGGAUCUCUUGGUUCCA